GUGCUCGCUUUGGCAGCACAUAUACUAAAAUUGGAAUGAUACAGAGAAGAUUAGCAUGGCCCCUGUGCAAGGAUGGCUUGCAAAAUGGUGAAGCGUUCCAUAUAAAA